GAUUUGACCCCCGUCUUUUUCUUGGGUUAUCAGAUUUCUUUCACCCUGGGAAUGAGAAGAUGGUCAUCUAGCCUUGCCUUCCCUAAAUUCUCCCCAGUUUAGCCAUUCCACCCAAGACCAUUUCUCAGGGUUUUGCCGUCAAAAGCCUACCUUACGAAUUGCCGGAAGGGAAACCCUGAUCUCUCGUGUUUCAAAGGAACCCCAAUUUCUUUUGCCCUGUUGCCUCCCAAACAUUUUCACAUUGAUCAUCC
rnacentral:lncRNA from 1 species